UACGUAGGGGGCUAGCGUUGUCCGGAAUCAUUGGGCGUAAAGAGCGUGUAGGCGGCUCGGUAAGUCCGCUGUGAAAGUCGGGGGCUCAACCCUCGAAUGCCGGUGGAUACUGUCGAGCUAGAGUGCGGAAGAGGCGAGUGGAAUUCCUGGUGUAGCGGUGAAAUGCGCAGAUAUCAGGAGGAACACCGAUUGCGAAGGCAGCUCGCUGGGACGUUACUGACGCUGGAGACGCGAAAGCGUGGGGAGCAAACAGG
rnacentral:rRNA from 1 species